rnacentral:rRNA from 1 species
ACGAACGCUGGCGGCAUGCCUAACACAUGCAAGUCGAACGAGAUCUUCGGAUCUAGUGGCGCACGGGUGCGUAACGCGUGGGAAUCUGCCCUUCGGUUCGGAAUAACAGUUAGAAAUGACUGCUAAUACCGGAUGAUGACGUAAGUCCAAAGAUUUAUCGCCGAAGGAUGAGCCCGCGUAAGAUUAGCUUGUUGGUGAGGUAAAGGCUCACCAAGGCUACGAUCUUUAGCUGGUCUGAGAGGAUGAUCAGCCACACUGGGACUGAGACACGGCCCAGACUCCUACGGGAGGCAGCAGUGGGGAAUAUUGGACAAUGGGCGAAAGCCUGAUCCAGCAAUGCCGCGUGAGUGAUGAAGGCCUUAGGGUUGUAAAGCUCUUUUACCCGGGAUGAUAAUGACAGUACCGGGAGAAUAAGCUCCGGCUAACUCCGU